rnacentral:tRNA from 1 species
GGGCCUGUGGCGCAAUUGGGAGCGCACCUGCUUUGCACGCAGGGGGUUGUGAGUUCGAGUCUCAUCAGGUCCA